rnacentral:rRNA from 1 species
CAGUCGAGGGGUGAAGGAGCUUGCUCCUUUGAGACCGGCGCACGGGUGCGUAACGCGUAUGCAAUCUACCUUGUACAGGGGGAUAGCCCAGAGAAAUUUGGAUUAAUACCCCAUAGUAUUUUCAGAUGGCCUCAUUUGAUUAUUAAAGUUCCAACGGUACAAGAUGAGCAUGCGUCCCAUUAGCUAGUUGGUGUGGUAACGGCAUACCAAGGCAACGAUGGGUAGGGGUCCUGAGAGGGAGAUCCCCCACACUGGUACUGAGACACGGACCAGACUCCUACGGGAGGCAGCAGUGAGGAAUAUUGGUCAAUGGGCGCAAGCCUGAACCAGCCAUGCCGCGUGCAGGAUGACGGUCCUAUGGAUUGUAAACUGCUUUUGUACAGGAAGAAACCCUCCCUUGUAAGGGAGCUUGACGGUACUGUAAGAAUAAGGAUCGGCUAACUCCGUGCCAGCAGCCGCGGUAAUACGGAGGAUCCAAGCGUUAUCCGGAAUCAUUGGGUUUAAAGGGUCCGUAGGCGGUUUUAUAAGUCAGUGGUGAAAUCUGGUCGCUCAACGAUCAAACGGCCAUUGAUACUGUAAGACUUGAAUUACUUGGAAGUAACUAGAAUAUGUAGUGUAGCGGUGAAAUGCUUAGAGAUUACAUGGAAUACCGAUUGCGAAGGCAGGUUACUACGAGUAUAUUGACGCUGAUGG